AAAGAAAUACAGGGGAGCUUGUAAGCAGGCUGAGAGGAAGUGAUCGAACUUCGACCCUAUAACCUGAUGCGGAUAAUGCCGUCGUAGGAAGUUAUUUACUAGGAUUU
rnacentral:ncRNA from 2 species